UUAUGUAAAUUCAUGUCUUAAAUUUUUAACUCUUAAAAAUAUAAAUUGAUAUUCCUACUAACUCAUAGGAUGUAUCACAGACACAAUGUACACAAUGUGAUAAAAGAAUAACCUUUUUCAUUCAUUUAUAGUUAAAAUUACAAAUUUGCCCUUAGAUCUGUACAGGAAUGUGUCAGCCGAUCUGGCAUCUAGGGCACACAUCUAACACUCAAAUCUGAGGGAUACUUAUAUCCAUACUCUUCACGAGCUACUUUUGACAGUAGAGUACUCGGCAC
rnacentral:lncRNA from 1 species